ACCAGGGCGCAAAUCCUACAAAUGUUAAUGUAAAUCAGUAACUUUAAACUUACAAAUGGCUCGGUGCCUACAAUGACACUAGCUAUGUGCACACAUUCUUGGGCAGAUAUGGAACUCUGUAUGUGUAAAUUCAGCAUGGAGCCUCGCUGCAAUCAGUUAGUUACAGCGUAUUGCAGCGCUAACGGUUGGAAGAAACAGAAAGUCUCCAAAUAACUGCAGCCAGUAGUUGCAGUCCUAGAAACUCUCACAUCUGAAUAACAUCAAUGUCACAAAUUCUCAUGCUGGAUUUGGCAGUCCUCACUCAAAUAAGGCCUGACCGAUUUCCGCCAGCACGGCACCAGUGAACGGCUUGUCAGGAGGAGGGCAAAGCAUUCCUGGCCAAAAUCAGUGGGUAGCUCUGUGCCAGAUCAAUGCCCAGAUGCAGCGUGCGGCCGGCAGCCAGCAGGAACCAUCUCCAUGUGAGUCACCUACAAGACUGCAGGUGCUGGAGGCCUAUGGAAAGUUGAAUCCUAGCCACUAACAGCAAUGUAAUCGUGUUGCUUGCUCAGAUCUCCUGCUGAUAAACGCACCCAGUUACUCCUAACUGUCUCCCGUACAAAAUAACACCUUCCAGAACACCUACUUCUUCAAUAGAUUUUAACCACACUGCAGCUGCACAAGAAAAUCCAUUCAUCAAUUAUAAAUCAAUUGAGGAAGAGAAAUCUGCAGCUCGCCUGAUUGUCUUUGCUUGUCCCUGAUACUCACUGAUCCAGCCUGCCAGGCAUUCUUUAAGAGCCCGAGCAGCAACAAUAUCCACACAGCCGCCGAACAAGGAGCAAUAAGAUUUUUUUUUUUUAUUUUUGUCUCCUGCACAAAUAUUCGGGAGUAUUUUGAAAUCCCCCGUCACGGAGGACACAAGACGGAGUGGAAAAGUGACUUUUUCUGCCUGUGUGCUUUCCUGCCUUUCCGAGACCAGCAGGGCAGGGGUGGCACCUCCCACCCUCAAUCCCUAAAUCCCGAAAGGAUCCAGGUUCACGGUGACCACCCCCGGGGCCGAGUGGCCACGUCCCUCUGUCCCUUACUCUGCUCUAGGAAAAUGCAGCCGUCUCGUUCCUACAAUGGAAAAGCUCUUUUCGACUACCUGGAUCGUGGGAAGGUUGCCUAAGUACCCGAGAUAUGUCUGAAUGAAGAAGGCAAAGAAUAGAUCGACUUAUAUAUAAAUUCUGUCUGGGGUUUAUUUUGGUGCGAUGGCUUUUGUUGGGUUUUCUUUUGGGAGGGUUGUUUGUUUUUGACCGGUCGUGUUUUUUGUUUGUUGUUUUGUUGGUUUUUGGUUUUGUUUUUUUUUUUUGUGGGGGUGAGGUGAGGUUGGAGGGAGGGGUGGUUUGUUUCAAAAGUUAAUAAGCAAUAAAACCCUCCCGGUAUUGAUUACUGCCGGGUCU
rnacentral:lncRNA from 1 species